rnacentral:rRNA from 1 species
UACGAAGGGGGCUAGCGUUGUUCGGAAUUACUGGGCGUAAAGCGCGCGCAGGCGGUCUUCCAAGUCAGUGGUGAAAGCCCGGAGCUCAACUCCGGAACUGCCAUUGAAACUGUGAGACUUGAGUAUGAGAGAGGUGAGUGGAAUUCCCAGUGGAGAGGUGAAAUGCGUAGAUAUUGGGAAGAAGAACGGUGGCGAAGGCGGCUCACUGGAUCAUUACUGACGCUCAGGCGCGACAGCGUGGGGAUCAAACAGG